UACGUAGGGAGCAAGCGUUGUCCGGAAUCAUUGGGCGUAAAGCGCGCGUAGGUGGCUUCAUAAGUCCGUUGUGAAAGUCAAAGGCUCAACCUUUGAAAGCCGAUGGAUACUGUGAAGCUAGAGUACGGAAGAGGCGAGUGGAAUUCCUGGUGUAGCGGUGGAAUGCGCAGAUAUCAGGAGGAACACCAAUAGCGAAGGCAGCUCGCUGGGACGUUACUGACACUGAGACGCGAAAGCGUGGGGAGCAAACAGG
rnacentral:rRNA from 1 species